UACGUAGGGUGCAAGCGUUAAUCGGAAUUACUGGGCGUAAAGCGUGCGCAGGCGGUUUUGUAAGUUUGUCGUGAAAGCCCCGGGCUCAACCUGGGAAUUGCGAUGAAGACUGCAAGGCUUGAAUCUGGCAGAGGGGGGGUAGAAUUCCACGUGUAGCAGUGAAAUGCGUAGAUAUGUGGAGGAAUACCGAUGGCGAAGGCAGCCCCCUGGGAUAACACUGACGCUCAUGCACGAAAGCGUGGGGAGCAAACAGG
rnacentral:rRNA from 1 species